CUGGGGUCACUUGUCUGGCCAGCUACGUCCCCACGGCCCUUGUCAGUGUGGAAGGUAGACGGCCAGACAGGUGACCCCGG
ensembl:miRNA